rnacentral:tRNA from 1 species
GGGGGUGUGGGGGCAGGUUCUUAUUAAACCUUCAGCCCAACAUUUUCUCGGAGAAAUUUUUACUAUCAGGAUUAUAUCUGAAUAACCUUACCAAGGUAGAAGUCGUGAGAUCGAAUCUCAUCGCCCGCGCCA